CAACUACUCCCUCUGUCCCAAAUUUCUUGUCUUAGAUUUGUCUAGAUACGGAUGUAUCAAGUCACAUUUUAGUAUUAGAUACAUCCGUAUCUAGACAAAUCUAAGACAAGAAAUUUUGGACAGAGGGAGUAGUUG
rnacentral:pre_miRNA from 1 species